CUCGUAGGCGGCCAACUAAGUCCGACGUGAAAUCCCAAGGCUCAACCUUGGAACUGCGUCGGAUACUGGAUGGCUUGAAUCCGGGAGAGGGAUGCGGAAUUCCAGGUGUAGCGGUGAAAUGCGUAGAUAUCUGGAGGAACACCGGUGGCGAAGGCGGCAUCCUGGACCGGUAUUGACGCUGAGGCGCGAAAGCCAGGGGAGCAAACG
rnacentral:rRNA from 1 species